GAUGAACGCUGGCGGCGUGCCUAAUACAUGCAGGUCGAGCGAACGGACGAGAAGCUUGCUUCUCUGAUGUUAGCGGCGGACGGGUGAGUAACACGUGGAUAACCUACCUAUAAGACUGGGAUAACUUCGGGAAACCGUAGCUAAUACCGGAUAAUAUUUUGAACCGCAUGGUUCAAAAGUGAAAGACGGUCUUGCUGUCACUUAUAGAUGGAUCCGCGCUGCAUUAGCUAGUUGGUAAGGUAACGGCUUACCAAGGCAACGAUGCAUAGCCGACCUGAGAGGGUGGUCGGCCACACUGGAACUGAGACACGGUCCAGACUCCUACGGGAGGCAGCAGUAGGGAAUCUUCCGCAAUGGGCGAAAGCCUGACGGAGCAACGCCGCGUGAGUGAUGAAGGUCUUCGGAUCGUAAAACUCUGUUAUUAGGGAAGAACAUAUGUGUAAGUAACUGUGCACAUCUUGACGGUACCUAAUCAGAAAGCCACGGCUAACUACGUG
rnacentral:rRNA from 1 species